GGAUUAGAUACCCUGGUAGUCCACGCUGUAAACGAUGAGUACUAGCUGUUGGAUCUGGUGUAAAAGAUUUAGUGGCGCAGCUAACGCGUUAAGUACUCCGCCUGGGGACUACGGCCGCAAGGUUAAAACUCAAAGGAAUUGACGGGGACCCGCACAAGCGGUGGAGCAUGUGGUUUAAUUCGAUGCAACGUGAAGAACCUUACCUACCCUUGACAUCCAUAGAAGAACUGAGAGAUCGGUUUGUGCCUUCGGGAACUAUGAGACAGGUGCUGCAUGGCUGUCGUCAGCUCGUGCCG
rnacentral:rRNA from 1 species